UGUUUCUCUCCCUGCUUAUCUCCCCAAUAGAAUAGAAAUACUGGAGUCGGCUAUUUUUAGCGUUUACAACAGUGAGCAGCUUGGGUGCUUGUGUCACCACCAAUGUGCCUACUUGCUUACCAUCAUCUUCCAAUUAGAGGGUUGUUGCCGCCCAUAGCUUCCGUCAUACUCUUCCGAUCAUUAACAAAAGACUUGACCGGGGGUUUUCCUCCUAGAAUUGCCACCUCCUGGUUUAUAGCCUUUCCAGAUGCUUUAACGUAUGCUAUGUUCUUCCAUCAUGCCCAACAUCAUCCUACAAUCCUACCGUGAGGUGCUUGGCUGACUGCAUCACUUGCCUGUUUAUUAUCCUUGCAUCGACGCAACAGACUUUAAAGGCGGCUUUGCUUAAUUGCUGCUCUGCCAGCAUUUCCCCUAAAGCUGUUUGCCGUCUCAAUUAACCGUCUUAAGGUGAGUCACUCUCUCUUUUCUCACGCUCCUUCUCUUUGGCGCCACCUCCUUCUUCGUUUUAUGUCCCAGAUUGCUGCCUCAUAUUUCUGUUUUAUCUCUAUCCUUAAGAGAGUAAACACAUUUCUUUAUUAAAACUUUUUGUUCUCCUCCUCUUUCUUAAGAAAGAAAGGACCACUUAUAUUUCCCCACCGCCUCCUUACGUUCCCCCGGAACAGUUGACGUUGUGGGUGGACAUCCCUUAUUCAGCCACCGCUGACGUUUCCGUUCCAGGUUUCAAAUUAAUGGUGAAUGAUCAAUAAAAGAUCUCUCCUGAUUUGUUUUUGCUCCUCUUUGUCGCUCCUUGUCUGAUACAUAUCAUGUCUUCCCGUCUUCCUUGUUCUUUCUCUCCUACAAAUCGCAGGUAUGCUUCUGGUUUCUCUUUUUUGUUACUUACUUCUGGUCUCACCCUCACUCUACUUUAUAAAAAUAAACGACAAUGAUGUAAAGUGGGUUUAAUCGAAGGGUAAUGAUGUAAAAAAAGAGGAUAACAAUCUUGUGUUCUUCAUUUCUUGUGGGCUUGGUUGGUGUUGAAGGAAUCAAAAGGGGUCUUGAAUAAUAGGUGUAUUAAACAACAAUUCUUCAUCAUGAAAGUUUCUAUAAAGACUUCUUAAUUUAUUAGGUUAAAGCAUCUAACACACUAAACCCAAAUCCCAUAAGUCAUUUUUCUCAAUAAUCAGUUAUUGUACAGGAAGUUCCAUACUCGCUUCUCCAAAUUUGAUUAAUAUAACACUCAGUAAUCAAAAUUAGUUUUUGCCAAACAUUACCAAUAAUCAGUUUAAACCAACAUUCAAUAACCCCUUAGUUGUGAAGGAACAACUUGAUCACACCGUAACAGGUACUCAGAUUAUCUUCCUUUUACUCAUCUGAUGAAAAGUAUUGGUCUCUCCUUCUCUCUACCAACCUUUUAUUUUAUGGGUUUAUGGUGUUCUAUUUAACUGUUAUACAAGUGUUUAUUUUGAAAAUGUUGAAUCAUCCCAAUUUAGUGAACCUGAUGAAUGUUAUUCAAUAAAAGUUCUUUAUGAUUGAUUGGGUCAACUCGGACGAGUGGCCAAGCCACGUAUCAACACAAAAGGUGGUGUUCGUUCAGUGGAGAUGAUAGGAAUAUGAAAUCUACAAUCAUCUUUGAGAAUCUUAAUUUUAAAAUUCAACCACAUGAUACAUGUGAGUAUAUUUAUAUUUUUUUAGAUCAGUUGAUCAGAUGGUUAGAGGGACAAGUUUUAUAGUGUACAAGUGUGUGUAAAAUUAUUAAAUGGGGAUGAUGCUACUUCUAUGAACAGAGAAAGAAGCAAAUCUCACUUCUUUGUGAUUUUUUACUAUGCCUUCUCCCCUCUUUGCUGGAGAAAUGAUACCAAUUAUUAGGAGGUGAGUUCUUUUUUCCCAGAUGAAAUAAUUUCAUCUGAGUAAUCCGUUUCGUAUAUAACUGAACCUUAACUACUUGUGUUUAUUUUGCAUAAUAUCUUUGAUUGUAUCAAUUUCUUACUGUCUGCAGUUUGUCUUGGAUUUUCAUUUUCUAACCAACUGUUCGAUAAGUUGGUUGAAUGAAUAUCAUAGAGGUAAUUUCUGAUUUUUUAUAGUUGAUGUUAGUUAACUAAGAGUCUUUUACUUUAUCUAAUUUGUGUCUUUUAGGUGCUACUGGAAUUGCAAGAGUUAGGGAUGGUUUUUGUUUUGUAAAUUUUGUCGAUUAUUUCAGGAUUUGGGAUCGUAAGUGCUUUAUAUGCCUUAAUCAUGUUAUUCCCAUCAAAUUGUUGACGAAUAAACUUGGAUUUUAAUACAAGUGUUUAUGACUUGAUGUACAA